AUGAUGGCGAUGCUGCCGGAGGAUAUGAUUGCGGAGGUGCUCGUGCGUCUGCCGGUGAAAGCCAUCCUCAGAUCCCGCGCCGUCUGCCGCCAGUGGGCGGCGCUGGUAUCCUCCGAGGAGUUCUGCGCGGCCAAGGAGGCCGCCGGGUCGGCGACGGAGCCCGCAGCUAAGCUGUUGUUCCUCUCACGGACCGCGAGAUUCGACUCCACCGAGUUGCGCUCCAGCGACGACGGUGGCGGCAUGCCGCUGCUCACCCUCACCGGCAUGCACGGCGACAGCGCGCGCAUAACGUCCACGCCGUGCCGCGGCCUCACCCUCCUGCACGACCCUUACAGCGGGUUCUAUGUCCUGAACGCCACCACGCGAGCAGUCACCAUGCUGCCGCCUUGCCGAGACAAGAUCCUACAUUCGACAACGGCCGGCCUCGGGUUCGACGCCAAGACUAAGGAGUGCAAGGUCGUGCGGCUGUUCACCGGCGACAGCGGGACACCCAUCGAAGCAUUUACCAGGGCCAGGUGCGAGGUGCACACCCUUGGGGGAGACCGCUGGAGGCCCAUCUCCGUCGAAGGCGUGCCAUGCAAGUUCGCCGGGGCCGCGCUGUUCGGGGGUGUGUGCCACAAACUGCCGGCGGUGUUCGCCGACGGGUGUCUGCACUGGCUCAUCCACCCAAAGUUUCACUUCGCCACAAGGCCGGCAGCCGCGGUGCUGUCUUUCUCCGUCGCGGACGAGACGUUCAGCUGGGUCCGGGCACCACCCUUCGACUGGGAAGGAGCGCACCUGACAGAGCUCGACGGCGGGCUGUGCAUGGUCCGGGAGGACCUCCUCCCUCGUGCUUCUGUUCUUAGUUGCGUGGAGAUCUGGAAGGUGAGGGAACAUAAUGGCGACUGGUCGCUGGAGCAUCGCGUCGACUUGGUACGCCUUAGUUAUAAAACAGGAUAUCUGCUGACUGUGCCACAGUAUAUCAGAGUUGUUGGCAAACAAGGAAAGAAGAUGAUCCUUGCCACGCCCUUUGGCAGGAUUUUCGCCUAUGAUCUCAUGUCUCAAACCCUAGAACUAAUCCUUCGACUCGAAGGAAUUUCUCGUUAUGAAACUGAGCGACCUGUUGCAAAAAUCUCUUUGUUUAAAGAGAGACUUACUCCAGUGCAGAGGCACAGUGCUCAACAGCAAUGA
rnacentral:rRNA from 1 species